AGGUGCUAGGAUUAAUAAUCAGAGAACUAUCCACUAUAGACCAACUGAAGAAACCUAUAGGUCAACAUACUGCUUCCGACAAUGAUCAACACCCAUACCGCAUAGUAACCAUCCUUUUAAUGGUUUGUAAUUUUAAUUGUUUUGACAGAUUUGUGUUCUCACACGGAGAUAAAUGUUUCAGAAACGAUAUGACAACAUUAAUGGAUAGCAUUAACAACUAUGACUGACAGAUGUUUCCAUGACGGGAGACAUCAUUAGCACAUCUCUGUCUUCUUGUCCAUUCGUUUUUGAUGCGUUUUGUUAUUUAAUUUUGCCAUGUGAUUAUGGACUUUCCGAAUUGAUUUUCCUCUAAGUUCAGCAUGUUUUUUCUAACCUUAAAGAGAACAUUUUAGCUUAAUUCAAAAAACAAAAAGAAUCUGCGUGUCUCUUGAAGACAGAAAAUACCGAAUGUCAAUAAUAAAACAGGAAUCUCAAACCCUCGCUCA
rnacentral:lncRNA from 1 species